UUUAGGAAAACAAAAUUAUCGAAAGCUAUGACAGUGUUACCGUUGUGCGACUAAAGUGUCAAAUUGACACUUUUUGGAGAUCGAUGCCCCCUGACACCGACUUUUUAAAAAUAGGCUUAUUUUGAAACUUUUCCAAAAAAUCAUGCGACUUUUCU